rnacentral:rRNA from 1 species
ACGUAGGGUGCGAGCGUUAAUCGGAAUUACUGGGCGUAAAGCGUGCGCAGGCGGUUUUGUAAGUCAGAUGUGAAAUCCCCGGGCUUAACCUGGGAACUGCGUUUGAAACUACAAGGCUAGAGUGUGGCAGAGGGGGGUGGAAUUCCACGUGUAGCAGUGAAAUGCGUAGAGAUGUGGAGGAACACCAAUGGCGAAGGCAACCCCCUGGGUCGAUACUGACGCUCAUGCACGAAAGCGUGGGUAGCAAACAGGA